GAGUACUACAAGCCACAGCUUAAAACUCAAAGGACUUGGUGGUGCUCUACACCCACCUAGAGGAGCCUGUUCUAUAAUCGAUAUCCCCCGAUAAACCUCACCUUUUUUUGCUAAUUCAGCCUAUAUACCACCGCCCUCAGCUAACCUCUCAAGAGAAUAACAGUAAGCAAAAUAAUUUAAAAUAAAAAAGCCAGGUCAAGGUGUAGCAUAUAAAAAGGAAAGAAAUGGGCUACAUUUUUUAUAUUAAAAAAUACGGAAUAUUUUAUGAAAUAAAGUAUAAAGGAGGAUUUAGAAGUAAAAAGAAAAAAGAGAGCUCUUUUUAAAUCGGCAAUAGAGUGCGC
rnacentral:rRNA from 1 species